rnacentral:tRNA from 2 species
GCGGGUGUGGCGGAAUUGGCAGACGCACUAGCCUUAGGAGCUAGCGCUUACGCGUGCAGGUUCAAGUCCUGUCACCCGCACCA